rnacentral:piRNA from 2 species
ACAUUGCCAAGGACUGCAAGGAGCC